rnacentral:rRNA from 1 species
UACAGAGGUCUCGAAGCGUUGUUCGGAUUCAUUGGGCGUAAAGGGUGCGUAGGCGGCGCGGUAAGUCGGGUGUGAAAUCUUGGAGCUUAACUCCGAAACUGCAUUCGAUACUGCGGUGCUUGAGGACUGGAGAGGAGACUGGAAUUCAUGGUGUAGCAGUGAAAUGCGCAGAUAUCAGGAGGAACACCGAUGGCGAAGGCAGGUCUCUGGGCCACUACUGACGCUGAGAAGCGAAAGCAUGGGGAGCGAACAGG